rnacentral:SRP_RNA from 1 species
GCUGGGUGUGGUGGCGCACACCUGUGGUCCCAGCUACUCACGAGGCUGAGGCGGGAGGACGGCUUGAGCCUGUGAGUUCUGGGCUGUAGUGAGCUUUGCUGAUCCAGGGUUCACGUCGAUGUGGUGACCUCCCUGGACUGUCAGGACCACCAGGUUGCCUAAGGAUGAACCCAUCCAAGUCAGAAACGAAGCAGGGCAAAACUCCCAUGCUCAUCUGACCUGGGACCACACCUGUGAAUAGCCACUGCACCCGGCUGGGCAACGCAGCGAGACCCUGUGGCU